UACGAAGGGGGCUAGCGUUGUUCGGAGUUACUGGGCGUAAAGAGUGCGUAGGCGGUUUUCUAAGUUUGGUGUGAAAUCUCCCGGCUCAACUGGGAGGGUGCGCCGAAGACUGGAAGGCUUGAGUAUGGGAGAGGUAAGCGGAAUUCCUGGUGUAGCGGUGAAAUGCGUAGAUAUCAGGAGGAACACCUGCGGUGUAGACGGCUUACUGGACCAUAACUGACGCUGAGGCACGAAAGCGUGGGUAGCAAACAGG
rnacentral:rRNA from 1 species